rnacentral:lncRNA from 1 species
GUUUGUGGUGCUUCGCUCCAGCAGCCACGGAACAUGGAUCUGAGCCCCGAGAGAUUCCUGGAUGUGGGAGACCCACCCUCUGUCCUUGGUGGUUGGUGAGGGCUGCAGGAUUGGGGCUUCUGAUGUUAUUGUCCUGGGGACAGACUCCCUGGGCAGGAUCACGGAGGGGGCAGACUGAGCUGGGACAAGGGGCAUUCGGGCCUCGGGCAGUGGGGCAGGCCCUAGAGUGGCAGCCAGUCAUCACAGUGAUUUCCCUGAACGGGCAAUGUUCCUUUCCAGGCUUAGUGCCCUGGCGGCCUCGGGGAAGUGGAGAAAAGAGAGGGGCACCAGGGUUACGAUUCUCAGCUUACUGAGGUCUGAUGUGAAUGGCAUGCAAGCCUCUGGCCAGGACCGGCCAGUGCCACCUUCUGAGCAUGUUCUGAGUGUUGACUCUGCGCCGGGCACGGGAGAUGAGGCUCCGGCUCUGUGGAGCUGCAUCCGGCUGGGGAGAGAUGGACAAGAGAGAGCAAACACCCCCGUGCCGGGCUUCACAUGUUGAGCCCAGGAGCAGAUGGUGUGACCUGGGCAAAGGGCUCAGAAGAAGGCCCCACCGGGCACCCCCGAGUGUCCCCAGAGCCUCUGUGUGUUCUGGGCACUGUUCCCAGAGCUGCCCUGAGCCAACCGCACAGUCACCACACCUACCUUUGGAGCAGGCAUUUGGCAGACAAGCAGGCAGAGCCCAGGGUUAGAACAAGCACUGCUCCGGCAGGAGGCAAGGGGACCCAGGCUGGCCCGAGCGCGUCCUCCCACCUGCCUCUUUGCCAGCUGCUGCCAAGCUUCGGAAACGAUCCUGGAAUUCAGCUCCGUCAGGGCUUUGCCUGGAUGGGCCAUGGUCUAGUGAGCAUUCAUAUUAAUAGUACUCAUUAAUAUUAAUCAGACCAAAUGUGAUGCAUGUCAUUUUGUUCUCACAACCACCCCAGGUACCACCUGUGACUCAGAUUAGGAGACCAAGGCUCAGAGAAGCCGAGCAGCCUGCCUGCCUCACGCGGGGCGGGGAGUGGGGGCAGUGCCAGAGUCCAAAGUCUGACCAUGUGGUCCAAAGCUCUGGCUGUCACCUGGACACGGCGCUGUCACCUGGACAUGACGCUGUCCCGAAGGCGCAGAGGCGACAGCGCCCGCACCCCACGCUCGAGCUUCAGAGACGCUUUGCUCACUUCACAGCUGACCCUAUUCCCA